CUUGUUUCUUCAGCUUUUCUUGAAGCCAUAGUAAAAUCAUGAACACCACUUCUUGAAUAAUUCGCCAUGAUGAUCAUCAACAAUCAAAAUCAACAACAAUAGUCNNNNNNNNUUCAAAAUUGAUCACAGAGUGAAAAACAAUGAAACCCAAAAUUGCAUUUUUCUUCGAAGCUAAAGAAUGAAAAGAGAAAAUAGCCUGCAUAUAGUGUAUUGAAGAACAAACCACCCAACACAAGAUCAAUAAUUAAUAUAAGAUUACUCUAGCAAACUGCAUAACUACAACUACAUGCAAACAUGGAUAAUAUUAUGCCUCGACACAGAUGGAACGAACAUCAUCUUCACUUACUAUAAUACUAUAUGAUAAAACAAAACAAUAAUU
rnacentral:lncRNA from 1 species